AAGUCGUAACAAGGUUUCCGUAGGUGAACCUGCGGAAGGAUCAUUAACACGUAUCCAACGUUAAACCCCCCUGUGAACCUUCAUUGUGCUCCCCCAUUCCGUUAGGACGCGGCAAUCCCUGGUAAAUCAUCGCCGAACAGUUUUGAUUCAGGGACCUCUGCAUGGAGUGGGCUUGCAGCGCGAGGCAAGUGGCCUGGCAUUCCUCUGCUUGUUGGUGUCUGAAAGUGUCACUAGCUCUGUAAGAAUGGCGCAGUAACGAUCGCUAGAGGCCGACACGGCCGGCGACCGGGUCACUGGGCUCACGCAAACGGGCCUGAAACUCGAACAACUGUUAACAAUGGAUAUCUUGGUUCUC
rnacentral:misc_RNA from 1 species